UACGGGGGGAGCAAGCGUUGUUCGGAUUUACUGGGCGUAAAGGGCGCGUAGGCGGCCAGCACAAGUCAGUUGUGAAAUCUCCGAGCUUAACUCGGAAAGGUCAACUGAUACUGUGCGGCUAGAGUGCGGAAGGGGCAACUGGAAUUCUUGGUGUAGCGGUGAAAUGCGUAGAUAUCAAGAGGAACACCUGCGGCGAAGGCGGGUCUCUGGGCCGAUACUGACGCUGAGGCGCGAAAGCCAGGGGAGCAAACGGG
rnacentral:rRNA from 1 species